rnacentral:rRNA from 1 species
GAAUAAUUUUAAAUGGCCGCAGUAUUUUGACUGUGCAAAGGUAGCAUAAUCAUUAGUCUUUUAAUUGAAGGCUGGUAUGAACGGUUGGACGAAGUAUAAGCUGUUUCAUAUAAAUUUAUAAUAGAAUUUUAUAUUUUAGUUAAAAAGCUAAAAUUUUAUUAAAAGACGAGAAGACCCUAUAAAUCUUUAUAUUUAAUACUAACUAAAUUUUUUUGAUUUAUUUUAUUUUUUUAAUAUUAAGUAUUUUGUUGGGGUGAUAUUAAAAUUUAAUGAACUUUUAAUUUUUAAAGCCAUUAAUUUAUGAAUUAUUGAUCCAUUAAUAAUGAUUAUAAGAUUAAGUUACUUUAGGGAUAACAGCGUAAUUUUUUUUGAGAGUUCAUAUCGACAAAAAAGUUUGCGACCUCGAUGUUGGAUUAAGGUAUAAUUUUGGGUGUAGCUGUUCAAAAAUUAAGUCUGUUCGACUUUUAAAUCCUUACAUGAUC